GUCGGCUCAUCACAUCCUGGGGCUGUAGUAGGUCCCAAGGGUUGGGCUGUUCGCCCAUUAAAGUGGUACGCGAGCUGGGUUCAGAACGUCGUGGGACAGUUCGGUCCCUAUCCGUCGCAGGCGUAGGCAAUUUGAGAAGACCUGUCCUUAGUACGAGAGGACCGGGAUGGACGUACCUCUGGUGUACCAGUUGUUCUGCCAAGGGCAUGGCUGGGUAGCUA
rnacentral:rRNA from 1 species